rnacentral:tRNA from 1 species
UCCCAGGUGGCUCAGAUGGUAAAGAAUCUGCCUGCAAUGUAGGAGACUCGGGUUCAAUUCCUGAGUUGGGAA